rnacentral:rRNA from 1 species
GUCUAAGGCCACAUCACCCAGAACAUGCGCAAACUCAUUUGGUCUCGAAAGCCAAGCAGGAUCGAGCCUAUUAGUACUUGGAUAGAUCUUCAGAAGAGACUAAGCAGUUUGGAGA